GGCCUGUGUGGUGUAGUGAUAGCACGAGUCCUCGGCAUGGAUGAGACGCGAGUUCAACUCCCGUAUGAGGUCG